UUCAAUGUUUACGUUUUAAAAUUACAAAUUUGCAAGUUAAACAGAACAGAUUUUUUGUGGAUUUUCCGAAAUAAAGCGGCCGCCUGCCGAAAUCAAAGGAGUAAAAAUAUGCUGCCGCAGCUAACAGGAACAGUCCAGAGAUGCGCAAAGGUGCCUUCGUCCAGCAAAAGCGAUGCGCAGCGCAGCAGCAAUUUUACCCAGUCCGCUGGGGCGUAAGGAUUUAUCAAAUUCGUGUGUGCAUUUUUAACUCACAUAUCUUCUCUUCCGCAAUUACAGGUGUGUGUUUUAGAGACCAGCAGUUCAUCGCCGAAGCUACUGGAUGUUCCGCAGAUAGGCGCAACUCGUAGUUGCGGCAGCAACCCAUUUUUUGAAACAGCGCAGCCAGUGUACAGGAAGAUUGCAGAUUUUUAGCCAACCAGUUUUUCGUCGAAACUCUCCAGUUUGUAGGCCCCAACGGAGUCCCCCCGCUAUUGCCACAGGUAGCAGGGGGUCCGGAGGGGCCGCAGCAUAGGAGGCGCCGCACAAGAGACAUCAACAGGGAAGUAGCCAGCGUUCUCGGAGUCGUCGAAUGCAGCUCGGACCGUCGUUUUUGGAGUUUUAAGAAGUAGAUAUCUUCUUUUCCGCAAUUACAGGUGUGUGUUGUAGCGACCAUCAGUUUUUACUCAGAGAUUCUUGAAGUUCAGCGAGCCAGGAAGACACUCCAUCGGCAGUUGCCAGUCUGCGGUAGAGUCCUUAAGGACGCCGAAAAGUGUCCUGGGGGCCAGAAGUCGGCUGCAGACUGCAGCGGUCGGCUUCUAGACGGUCCAAAGGAGUAGUAGCUGGAAUCUCGUUGUAGUUGGUUGUAAAUGCACACAGCUGUAUGCACAUUUUUGCUGUUCGGUGGUGUUAAAAGCAAACGGGUUGGAGUGUCCGAAAAGUAGCGCUGCAAAACCCUUGGCAGCAACAUGUAUUUGUGGCACGCAGCCGGUAUCGGAGAAUUUCGCAGGCAGCCGUUAACCAGACUGCUGCGAAAAAUCCCACACAUAACGGAUACUACGGCCAAGUUGCAGCGGUCGUUUGACGGAGGUUGCACUGUGGUAGCAGUCGCAGAUGACGCUGUCCAGACAAGAGUAGUAGCCAGUGUUUGGGGAUUUCCGAUUUACUGUUAAGAACAAGGACCAUACAAUUUAGCUGUACCAGUUAAUUGGCAAUAAUUUUGGAAAUAUCCGUAAUAGCGACCAGGGAA